rfam:Triticum aestivum genome assembly, contig: Triticum_aestivum_CS42_TGACv1_scaffold_558252_7AL
UUACUACUCCCUCCGUUCCGAAUUACUCGUCGCAGAAAUGGAUGUAUCUAGAGUUGUAGAUACAUCCAUUUCUGCGACGAGUAAUUCAGAACGGAGGGAGUAUGCU